GUGGGGAAUUUUGGACAAUGGGCGCAAGCCUGAUCCAGCAAUGCCGCGUGCAGGAAGAAGGCCUUCGGGUUGUAAACUGCUUUUGUACGGAACGAAAAGGCUCUGGUUAAUACCUGGGGCUCAUGACGGUACCGUAAGAAUAAGCACCGGCUAACUACGUGCCAGCAGCCGCGGUAAUACGUAGGGUGCAAGCGUUAAUCGGAAUUACUGGGCGUAAAGCGUGCGCAGGCGGUUUUGUAAGACAGAGGUGAAAUCCCCGGGCUCAACCUGGGAAUUGCCUUUGUGACUGCAAGGCUGGAGUGCGGCAGAGGGGGAUGGAAUUCCGCGUGUAGCAGUGAAAUGCGUAGAUAUGCGGAGGAACACCGAUGGCGAAGGCAAUCCCCUGGGCCUGCACUGACGCUCAUGCACGAAAGCGUGGGGAGCAAACAGGAUUAGAUACCCUAGUAGUCC
rnacentral:rRNA from 1 species